AGUUAGGAACACUAUCGACCUUGAAACGUAUGUACCUCCUCCAGAACUUGUUCAAAUUCUUCCAACAAAGUCCACUAUCAGAUUGGACAAGGGGUCUCAAAUUGGACCGAAUAACCCCAAAUUUGCUCUGGGAAUGAAAUCUUUGAUUGACCUUAUAUUUGCAGUUGGAGGUUCUGUUUCAGAUGCUGCAAAGAAAUUAGGGCUGAGCACUGGAGCUUUGUCACGGUUGAUAUUAUCGGAUGAUUCUCUUCGACAAGCAGUCAAUGAAUUCAGGGUUGAAAAGGUAACUUUUUAUACAUCAUACGUUGAUAUUACAACUUAAGGUGAGAUACGUUACAACUUUUGUGGACUGCCUUAUUACAUGAUAUAUGCCUCAUUUACAACCUCUGCUUAACAUUACAUUGCAACAUUUGUGGUAUUGUCUUAGGGUAUGAAGCCUCUCAAGUAGGACUCUCACUAGACGUAGCCAAAUGUUUCAGGUACUGUUUCUCCAUAAAAUCUGAUGCCUCGUAUAUUUUCUUGGGAAAAUACCCGUAAAACCAUGAACUUUUCCCAAAAAAAUGGUAUUUUCCACGAACAUUAAAAGUGGUGGGAAAUACGAUGAACUUUGGACAUUGUGUCGAUUUCCCUUGACGUUAAUUUUCCAGCCAAUUUUAAUUGACGUAGCUUGUCGGAUGUUCUACACGUAACCCCCGGAAGGUGAACAAAAUGCACCGUUUACAAAGUUAUUCAAGAGAGUUGCCAAAGUAGUGCUUAAGUGGAGAAUAUUGCUUUAGUUUAUUAUUAUUGUUUUGUUUUUAAUUUCAGAAGUAUAAAAUGCAUAGAAAUGUAAAAGUACGUUCUUUGGAGAAUCAAGUUGGAAUGAAUGACAAUUCCCGAGGACCUUCAUUUUUGAAGGAGUAUCAUUAAAUUUUACUGCAGUUCUUUACAAUUUGUAAAACACUUGUCUUUCUUCUACUUCAAAUCUCUAACAAAUUGGAAAGAAAUGGCUACGCGCAUGAACGAGUGAGUCAAAGGUUUAGAGAAAGCAAUGUAGGAACAAAACCACUGUUUUGAGGAGCAAUUUUGAGAGCUCGGGGAAUUCAUCAUCAACACAAUUUGAUGGGAGAGAUGUGAUAUCUUGGAUCGUGAGGGCUCAAAAGUACUUCCUUGUCCACACAUGUCGGGUGGACGCCUCCGGCCAUGACGUGGAUUCAAAUCCUUCUACAACGCUCGCCAUUGGUUACUUUCGCAGACGUUGCACGUGAACUCCAAAAGAGGUUUGAAAUUAGGUACGCUCUGAACGCCUACAAAGCGCUACAUGCCAGUACGCAGGAUGGGUCUUGGACGAGUACGCUUCAGCCUUUGAGAGUCAACUAGCGCAGCUUCCAAAGCUAACAUAUCAACAAUACCUCGGUUAUUUCUCGGGGGGGACUAGAACCCCGCAUAUGCUUAUAAAAUUAACCCCGCAAAAAUAAUUGACUUUCUCGACAAUCCCUCCGCGUAUACACUUAGGCCGAUGGAAUCACCCCAACCUUGAGCUCCAUCCUAUGAACGAUAGGGUGCGCACCUGUCAGAGGCCAUAAACCCAGGAAUGAAGCAUAUGCCAACAUAACAAGGUACUACACCCUUUAUACCCCGUGAGUCUCGGCCAUUUCUUGAACCAAGUUGCCCGUAACCACCUAACAAAACAUUGGCGACGCCCUGCCCUCAGUUUCAGGCAACCAUGAGGGCAUCUUGAUCACGACGUGUGAUGAGGUUUGCGCAUUGAGUUUCCUAGCUAGAUGACUUAACCAAUAGAAAGUGAUAGAACAAGAAAAAACCAUACACAUCGACUCCCAAGUGAUUACAGAACGUAAGGUUUUGUGCAUUGAGUUUUCUGCAAUGACUUAACCAAAGGCAAAUGAAAAGAACAAAAAGGGAUAUAACUUGAAAGCAUCUGUAGUGCCUAGAGUUGAAGUUUGUACAUAUGCAUUGACGUGGCCGUGGGAGAAGAAUGUGAUAUACCUACCUACAUAUAUUCAUACUAGUUUUAUAGAUCAUUUACUAUUCAAGGUUAGAGCUAAAUAAAUAAAAAUAUACUACUAUGAAUCAAUCUAUUGUAUAUGUAGCGUUAGAAAUUUGAAAUACCUUAAAGUCAUGGAUUCAUUUUACAAUUUGAGAUCACAUUCAGUUUAAACAACUAAUAAGAUUGCAGAGAUCUAUGUGGUGAAGAUAAUUAAAAUUAUUCGGUCACUACUCAUGCAUAUAUAUACCCUAUCCUGUAUUAAUUAAUUAGCUUCAAAGUACUAAGCUAAUUAUGUAUAUUUUGUCAACAGCUGAGCACAAAACAUCAAUACAAAUCGAUAUCUGAACUUGGAAAGUUUAUUGGAGAAAGAAAUGUUAUGGAGUAAAUCUUAUCACUACAUAUGUAAACACCAACUUAACCCUAGUUAUACAAAAAUACCCCACACUGCUUAUUAGUAGUGGAUAUUGAGUUCAGUUAAAAAUGUGUUCUUAUUUUAGCAGUUUCAACACAAACACAUGUGAUGUGGAGUACGUAUUUAUAGUCAGGUCGGAAAUAGAAGAUAAAACAUAAACAAAAGAAUUAUGUAUCUGUAUAUGUAUAUAUAUAUGGUCAUCACUAUAUUAAUGUAUAUCUUGCUUGAGUAUAACUACAGACUACAGUAGAAUAAUAUUUCCCUAUUGAAGAAAACUAUAGCAUAUAAUACAAGAAACAUGGCCUGUACAUAAACAGGCCAAUCACAUGUAUGUAACUGCAAAACAUCAUCUGUAUAUAGAUGAGAUGAUUCACCAAAAGCUGAUAAAGCUAAACACAUGAUAAACUCGAAAAUCAUAUAGAAAAAAUUAUCAUAUCAAAAGGAAAUAUAAAAACAGUCAUAGACAUCACACAUAUCAGAUACAUACAACACAACAGUACCCCUAAAACUAUAUAUAUACUAUGAUGAUUUAUAAAUUUAGGGUAUGUAUAUAUUUAAGAUAAUAAAGAAGAGUGGGAGCUAGCUAGGUUAUUACCAGAUCUAGAAAGCUGAGCAUUUGUAAUCAGAAAUAAAGGCGUGAGGAAUGAAGCCUGGUCCGAGAUCGAUCAUCUUUCCUUACAUGUAUUGAUUUAAA